AGAACAUGCCGACCAAUACAAACGUCACUCCUAAAGCAACACCACACAUGGAUCCUGACGCGCCGAUAUUUGAUGCGACUCCGCAAAUCAAGUCUACUGGCGGCGUACAACAAGUGGCAGAAACAGACUUGCCUGACAGUGGUCCAUGCUUUGAUCAGACUCCAUCUGAACAUGUUUAUGUUGAAACCGAUCCAGCUACAAACACUCCACAGGUUGGCCAGGCUUCUCUUGAUUCGGAGAUGCAAACUGUGUUAGCUCUACGCGAAUAUUUGUGUGGUCUGCAAUCUGACACCGGCAGGACCAUAAUAGAUUAUGGUGAAUAUUCAGCGACAUGUUCUGACAUAUAUGAAUCUUUUGCCGAUGGGAAGUGUCUCGACAAUGGAUUCAUGCAGUGUUUCAUCCAAUGUGUUAUUCAUGAUGCAAAAAAUCAGCAGAUUUCCAUGAGUUCGAAC